rnacentral:rRNA from 1 species
GACGUAGGGCGCGAGCGUUGUCCGGAUUUAUUGGGCGUAAAGAGCUCGUAGGCGGCUCGUUGCGUCGGCUGUGAAAACCCGCAGCUCAACUGUGGGCUUGCAGCCGAUACGGGCGGGCUUGAGUUCGGUAGGGGAGACUGGAAUUCCUGGUGUAGCGGUGAAAUGCGCAGAUAUCAGGAGGAACACCGGUGGCGAAGGCGGGUCUCUGGGCCGAAACUGACGCUGAGGAGCGAAAGCAUGGGGAGCGAACAGG